UACGGGGGGAGCAAGCGUUGUUCGGAUUUACUGGGCGUAAAGGGCGCGUAGGCGGCGCAACAAGUCACUUGUGAAAUCUCCGGGCUUAACCCGGAGCGGCCAAGUGAUACUGUCGUGCUAGAGUGCGGAAGGGGCUACUGGAAUUCUCGGUGUAGCGGUGAAAUUCGUAGAUAUCGAGAGGAACACCGGUGGCGAAGGCGGCUUCCUGGACAGUUACUGACGCUGAGACGCGAAAGCGUGGGGAGCAAACAGG
rnacentral:rRNA from 1 species